CUCACCUCAUCAUUCUGUAAUCUCUGCGAAAGCUUCCAGGUUCGCUCAUCGUAGGUCACUGGAAAAAAUUGUAGCAUUGCUAAAGAGUAUUUCAGAGAAAAUUUUGCAUGCAAAAAUUUAGGAAGAUGAGUGAAACUCAUCAUUCUGUAAUCUCUGUGAAAGCUUCCAGUCCCUGGCUAUCUUCUUCAGUGACUGCUCCAUCCAUGGUAGCCCCAGUCACUUUUGCAUCUAUUGUAGAAGAAGAACUACAACAAGAAGCAGCUCUUAUUAGAAGUCGAGAAAAACCGUUGGCUCUGAUUCAGAUUGAGGAGCAUGCCAUACAAGAUUUAUUGGUUUUCUAUGAGGCAUUUGGCAACCCUGAAGAGUUUGUCAUUGUUGAAAGGACACCGCAGGGACCACUGGCAGUACCUAUGUGGAAUAAGCAUGGAUGCUAGUUCACUGUGGAGUUGAGAUGCAUUUUACAUAAUUAUGAGUUUGUUCAUAUAAAGAAAAGCUGUGGAAAAGAGUCUUAGAGAUUUUGUAAUAUCAUUCUAAAUAGAUUAAGAAAAGAUAUAAUUUCUUUACUGCAGUUAAAUCAUAUAAUGUUUGUAUGAUUAAAAAUAAAUUUCUCAGAAUUGUGAUUUUAGUAACUUUAUAUAAAAUGUGUGAGACAAAAACUUAUUAAGGUUAAAUAGAAUUGUUUCUUCUGAAUAAUCUAACAAAGGAAAAUAUAAGUGAUUGAAUCAUAAGAUAUAAGGGGGGUAAAGUAUUAAAAAUAACUUUUUUGUUUGAUAACUUGAGAAUUUAGAAGAUUUUGCCAAGUAUGUGUUGUUGCUUGACUUCUUAAAUAUGGCAUUGAUGAAUUUAAAGUAGGAGCAUCAGUUAUUACUUCUGAUUCAUUAAUGGCCAGAAUUUUGUGUUUGGUGUAAUAGUUGUGUCACCAUUCUUGUUGCUUUUUAAAAAUCAGGCUAAUCAUGUGGUCCAUGUCUCUUCAAAGCUUGACCUGCACAAAUGCCAUAUUUCUAUUUGGACCACAUAUUCUCCAUUUUGCAUUGAGCAGUAGAGUACAGUGGAAAGGGAAUAAGAAUACUGAUUAUUCUGAACAGUUUAGUCCCAAGAGAAUAGCGUUUUAAAAAAGAAAAACAAGAUUUGGAGUCAUUGUGGGUUAUUUUUGGUGGGAUGGAGGAUCUUAAAAAUGCCUAAUUGUGAGAGAAUCAAUUGCUGAAAGUGUUAAAAUUUCUGAAAAUAAAUGCUUAAUUACAUAUACAGGAAUUAAAUAGUUUGGAAGAGGGUUGGAUUAUCAUUACCUUUACAAUACUGUAUAAUCAGAAGUUCUCUGAACCUCAAUUGUAUAUCUAGACAUAAAAAUUGUUUUCUGUAUAGGAUGUUGUUUGGUUUGUUUCUGAGUGUUUAAAUUUUGCAAAAACAAAUGUUAAAUUUGUGCUUCAGUACCUAGAUAAAUUGGAAAGGUUAAUGUUCUAGUUUCUGGAAGGUAAGCCUGGGAGACACAUAAGCAAUUCACUGCUAUAAUUUAGUUGAUGUAAAAUGACGGAAACUGACUCAAUAUGUCAGGUUUAACUCUGCCCAAAAGCAGCAGACAUGUAAGCAGAUGUGCAAUAAAAAAUGAUCUUGAUCCAUUUCACU
rnacentral:lncRNA from 1 species